rnacentral:misc_RNA from 1 species
CAGCCGAAACCCAGGCAGACAUCCCAGAGAAGACGAGGCAAACGGGUGAGAGGAAAAACUGACGUCAAGACUUACUUAACGGUCGAUUCCUUCCAUAACACUUUCUCAGGAGGUCGAGUUGCUAGAAUGACCUUAAGAGCACCGAGAAACACACAACCUAGUUUAGAGCGUGAUCUGAACAAGGGACACUAACGGGUGGCAAGACAGAGCUCUCUUAACCCCUGUGGGUUAUGGCCAUUGAGAGACUGGUUGCCGUGAGGAGGGCGACCCACUUAACUGGACAAGGAAGGGAAGUCCCCUGCCCAGAUGGGCCAGGGUAGACCGC